GCCUGAUUGAAGAUGUCUGUGAGCAGUAAUUACUGAGGAGGAAUUGUGGCUGAGGGCUGGGCAGAAACACCUGGGGUUCAUCUGGAGCUGAGGGACAUUUGUCACCUAUUGUGGAGAAGGUCUGUCCUCCCCAAGAUACAGUGUCACUUCCAUGAGCCCUGGGAUUGUGCCACAGUGAGUACAAAAG
rnacentral:lncRNA from 1 species